rnacentral:lncRNA from 13 species
GGGUCCUUGCCUGCGCCACACGCGGGUCUGCACACGGCCCCACGUACGCCGCUGCGCACGGCUCUCCUCCGCCUCGCCCAUGCGGCCAAUCAGCGCGCGGGAUUCGGCAGUCCAAUCAGAGACGUCCGCGGGAGGGCCGCCCUGCUGGAGCGCGGCGCGGCGCGGCGCGGGACGGGACUGGUGUUUCUGCGCGCCGCUGCCUUUCCCGCCGUGCCACGCGUGCGGCCUUUCCCGCGGGGGAUUAUAGACCCAGUGGCCCUCGGGCCCUUCCUAGAUGGGUUCGGGCUCUGCCCGACUGGAUGGAAAUCUGGCUGUCUCCGCCUUGUGGUCUCUCUUGCCAGCUGGAGCCUAGGGAUGCCAGGGGACGGGUCUCGGUGCAGUGACUGCGAUUAUCAUGGGACCACAGAAAGUUUCUCCUCGUUCUCGGGCUCCUACCAGGCCCUUGGCUUUCAGAGCCGGGUCUCGCUCCAUCGCUGGGAUUACAGAGUUUCGCUCUUGUUGCCCAAGCUGGGGUGCAAUGGUGCAAUCUUAGCUCACUGCAACCCUCCGCCGCCCAUGUUCAGGCAAUUCUUCUGGUUCAGCCUCUCCAGUAGCUGGGAUUACAGUGUUCUUAUCUGCUCAGCUGCACUGCUUUCUCCCCUGAUGGAAGCGGAAGCCGAAGCCAUGAUUCUGCAAUCCUGGCCAUAA